UCUCCGUUGGUGAACCAGCGGAGGGAUCAUUACCGAAGUUACCUUCGAAACCCACUGUGAACCUUACCUCUUGCCGCGUUGUCUCGGCGGGAGGCGGUGUGCGUCGCGCGCCCUAGCGGGCCGCGCCGCUCCCGUCCCCGCCGGCAGCGCCAAACUCUAAAUGCACAGCGGACUGUACGUUCUGAUUUACAAAAAAAAACAAGUUAAAACUUUCAACAACGGAUCUCUUGGUUCUG
rnacentral:misc_RNA from 1 species